AGUGAACGCUGGCGGCGUGCCUAAUACAUGCAAGUCGAACGAAGUGGCGCGCGGGUGAGUAAUAUAUAGUUAAUCUGCACUACACAGAGGAACAACAGUUGGAAAAGGCUGCUAAUACCUCAUAGUGUAGGAGGGGACUAUAUCGUAUCAGCUAGUUGGUAAGGUAAUGGAUUACAAAGGCUAUGACGCGUAACUGGUCUGUGAGGAUGAUCAGGCACAUUGGAACGGAGACACGGUCCAAACUCCUACGGGAGGCAGCAGUAAGGAAGAUUGCGCAAUGGGGGAAACCCUGACGCAGCAACGCCGCGUGAAGGAUGACACUUUUCGGAGCGUAAACUGCUUUUAUCAGGAAAGCGGUACCUAAUGAAUAAGCACCGGCUAACUCCGUGCCAGCAGCCGCGGUAAUUC
rnacentral:rRNA from 1 species